UACGGAGGAUCCAAGCGUUAUCCGGAUUUAUUGGGUUUAAAGGGUGCGUAGGCGGCUUAUUAAGUCAGUGGUGAAAUCUCCGAGCUCAACUUGGAAACUGCCAUUGAUACUAUUGAUCUUGAAUUCUGUUGAGGUAGGCGGAAUAAGUCAUGUAGCGGUGAAAUGCAUAGAUAUGACUUAGAACACCAAUUGCGAAGGCAGCUUACUAAGCAGAUAUUGACGCUGAGGCACGAAAGCGUGGGGAUCAAACAGG
rnacentral:rRNA from 1 species